UACGAAGGGGGCUAGCGUUGCUCGGAAUCACUGGGCGUAAAGCGCACGUAGGCGGAUUGCUAAGUCAGGGGUGAAAUCCUGGAGCUCAACUCCAGAACUGCCUUUGAUACUGGCGAUCUUGAGUCCGGGAGAGGUGAGUGGAACUGCGAGUGUAGAGGUGAAAUUCGUAGAUAUUGGGAAGAACACCGGUGGCGAAGGCGGCGCUCUGGACCGAGACUGACGCUGAGGCGUGAAAGCGUGGGGAGCAAACAGG
rnacentral:rRNA from 1 species